UACGUAGGGGGCAAGCGUUGUCCGGAAUCAUUGGGCGUAAAGCGCGUGUAGGCGGCCCGAUAAGUCCGCUGUGAAAGUCCAGGGCUCAACCCUGGGAUGCCGGUGGAUACUGUCGGGCUCGAGUCCGGAAGAGGCGAGUGGAAUUCCUGGUGUAGCGGUGAAAUGCGCAGAUAUCAGGAGGAACACCAAUGGCGAAGGCAGCUCGCUGGGACGUGACUGACGCUGAGACGCGAAAGCGUGGGGAGCAAGCAGG
rnacentral:rRNA from 1 species